GCCUAAGGUAUCAAGCCCAAUAUCAUGAGCCAAGAUAAAGGGAAGGGAGAUCAGUGUGUUCAUUUAUGCUUCUUUGUUCCAAGUCCAAACUUAGGUCACUAAAAAAAACCUCCAUUGAAUAUCAACUCCGUCAUGCCAUAAAUCGCCUUAGCGACGAAGGAGGUCCAACCACUACCAAACCUACAUCACUUGAACCGUCUCUCUACCCCCUCUCUCUCUCUCUCUCUCUCUCUCUCUCUCUCUCGCUCUCGCUCUCUUAAUAUAAUAUUACUUUUUCCUAAAUCCUCCCUCAAAGUUCAAAUCGAAGAAGAAAAUGUAUGAACCCUAACUUCUCAGAUCCAAAUUAAACGUGAACUAUAACUAAUUUCAACCUCAGAACUUAGGGCUAAGGCUUAUCUAUGUCAAUUCUAUCAUCUGGUAAUAACAAAAAUAGACGAAAUCAAGAGAGAUGAGAUCCUACCUUCGAAGCGGUGAAUUGCUUCGUUCAAGGUUGAAAAGUUUGAAGAGGAAGAUGAUAAGAAAUCCAUAGGCGCUUCGAAUACGGUUUGUUGUUUGCUUGAUAAGAUAGGGCUUGGUGUAUGGAACUUGGGUGCUUGGAGGAUCUAAGUCAAGGCAUGGCAAAGUGAAAGCUUGGUGGGAUGAAGCUUGGUCAUGGCAUGGACUUGAAGAAACUUAACAUACUUGAAGAACAUGAAGAAUCAACCAUGACACAAGGCUUGAAGAUAUUUGGAACUGCUUGGAAAUAGGUAUAGGGUAGAGGUGGGACUGUGGUCAACUGUCUGACCAAAAGUUAACAAUUGACCAAAAAGUCAACUGUAGGUCAAAUAUCAAUUUUCCUUGUAAUUUCCAUUUUUGAUACCUUUGUAAUGUAUUUGCACACUUGAAUGAAGGCUUUUGAAUUUUGUAACUUGUAACUUGUUUUCCAAGUAAUCCAACUUUGCCUUCAUUUUCAA